CGGAGGGUGACGAGGUGACGGCGAUGGUGGAGGGGGCUGCCAUGUGACACUUUAAUGUUGAUAAAACAGCAGAUGUUGACAAUGGACCUUCUUUGGCCAAUUGGACGGUGGGAUGGCAACAUCAUAUAUAUAGGGUCGUGGUGGUGGUAGUAGUGGUAGCGAUGAAAAUUCGAUGCCAAAGCAGAAGCUGAUGAAAGAGUGAGAAGCCAGCCUUGCUUCUGAACCAGAAAACUUAAGGUUUGGGUACUUGUGCGAUUCGGGCAGCGAGAAAGCCUUUUGUCAAUACACUUGCUGGAUGAAAACCUCACCACGGCGUGUCGGUCGUGGGGGUUAUCUGACUAUACUUCACCACUUUGGUCAAUGCAGGUUGGUGAAGGGGUCGGAGGGCGGGGGGCCAGGACAGGCUCCCCCGCUGGGAUUUUAACUUAGGUCACAGUGCAUUCGUUCAUUUAUAAUGCCAAUUAGACUCUUCAGGAGAGUCUUGCAUGAGCGAAGUUUGGCCAGUUCUAUUCAUGAGAGUUUGGCUUCAUGUGGGAGGAAACCAGAGAACUCGGAGAAAAGCCACCACACAGAGGUUGGGGACUUCAAGGUGUGGCCCCCUCGUGAAGGAGCCCGUGUGACAUUUCAAGGCACGAGC